AAUGGAAUAGCGGGCAAACGCCGCUAGUGAAUCAGGUCAGGACAGGAAUGUAGCAGCCUUAAACUAGUCAGGCGCUGUGCUCGUUUUUAUUUCUGCAAU
rnacentral:SRP_RNA from 1 species